rnacentral:rRNA from 1 species
CUGCCUGCCCGGUGACAUUAGUUAAACGGCCGCGGUAUUCUGACCGUGCAAAGGUAGCAUAAUCAUUUGUUCUCUAAAUAAGGACUUGUAUGAAAGGCCACACGAGGGUUUAACUGUCUCUUACUUCCAAUCAGUGAAAUUGACCUUCCCGUGAAGAGGCGGGAAUAAAGCAAUAAGACGAGAAGACCCUAUGGAGCUUUAAUUAACUAGCUCAAAAGAAUCUAUCUACCAGACCGACAGGAACAACAUACUCCUUCCAUGAGCUAACAAUUUAGGUUGGGGCGACCUCGGAGCACAAAACAACCUCCGAGUGAUAUUAAUCUAGACGUACCAGUCAAAAUGCUCACUUACUUAUUGAUCCAAAAACCUCUUUGAUCAACGGAACAAGUUACCCUAGGGAUAACAGCGCAAUCCUAUUUAAGAGUCCAUAUCGACAAUAGGGUUUACGACCUCGAUGUUGGAUCAGGACAUCCUAAUGGUGCAGCAGCUAUUAAGGGUUCGUUUGUUCAACGAUUAAAGUCCUACGUGAUCUGAG